rnacentral:lncRNA from 1 species
GGUGUUUUGCUUGGGAGGUGUUUGGAUUGACUAAUUACUAGAUCCAACGUAACUCGUAGUGAUAUUUAAAUUUUUUUAAAAUAUAGUUAUUUUUUCGUUGUUCAUUUCGAUGUAACUUAUACAUCCUGAAAAUUAAAUUUAAAUAUUUUUUUUUAUUUGUUUUGGUGUAAUUUGAUACUAGUGUAACUAGUUUUUUUUAGUUCUAUUGUUUGAUUUGAUGUAAGUAAAUAAAUCUAGUUAUUUUCUAAGUAUAGUGAUUGUUGAACCAAUACGGCGCGGACAGUUGGCACACUGAGUUCAGAUACAUAUUCAGGAUUCGAAGCUCUGGAUCGGGAGCACGGAAAAUGCGCCAGGAGAUAUGAGCCGCGUCUGUUCGAAAAACGGGAUAACCGCAAGUGGUUAUGGGCGGUUCCCAACAGCAGUUCCAAUCGGCCGAACGUGGUCCUUCAAAUCCGGAGAAGAUGGCCGAUCGUGCAAUAACUAAACACAAGGGGAAAAUAUAUAAAUAAGCUUGUAGUACCCUGAAAAGGGGUCUCUG